rnacentral:rRNA from 1 species
AUUGAACGCUGGCGGCAUGCUUUACGCAUGCAAGUCGAACGGUAACAGGCCGCAAGGUGCUGACGAGUGGCGCACGGGUGAGUAAUGCAUCGGAACGUGCCCAGUCGUGGGGGAUAACUACUCGAAAGAGUAGCUAAUACCGCAUACGAUCUAUGGAUGAAAGCGGGGGACCGUAAGGCCUCGCGCGAUUGGAGCGGCCGAUGUCAGAUUAGGUAGUUGGUGGGGUAAAGGCUCACCAAGCCAACGAUCUGUAGCUGGUCUGAGAGGACGACCAGCCACACUGGGACUGAGACACGGCCCAGACUCCUACGGGAGGCAGCAGUGGGGAAUUUUGGACAAUGGGCGCAAGCCUGAUCCAGCAAUGCCGCGUGCAGGAAGAAGGCCUUCGGGUUGUAAACUGCUUUUGUACGGAACGAAACGGCUCUGGUUAAUACCCGGGGCUAAUGACGGUACCGUAAGAAUAAGCACCGGCUAACUACGUG